UGGUGAAUAGCCUAACGGCUGAACCAGCAACUAGGAGGAAUGUAUAGUUAAUUCUAAUUGUGUUAAAUCUUUUUUUAAUGCAAUUUCGAGUAAUUCGUAUAAAAUUCUGGAUAGAAUAAUGAUAAUGACAGUUUCUAUCUAAAGUCUUGACCAAAUCACGUGCCAGCAGUCGCGGUAAUACGUGGAAGACAAGUGUUAUUCAUCUUUAUUGGGUUUAAAGGGUACCUAGACGGUAAAUUCAGCCCCUAAAGGGUACUAGUUUACUAGAGUUUUAUAAGAGGAGUGUGGAAUUUCUGGAGUAGAGAUAAAAUUUGUUGAUACUAGAAAGACAGGUAUAGGCGAAGGCAACCUUCUGUGUAAAAACUGACGUUGAGGGACGAAGGCUUGGGUCGCAAUUAGGAUUAGAUACCCUAGUAGUCCAGGCAGACAAUUCUGAAUGUCAUAGAUUAGAUAUAUUUAGUCUAUAAAUGAAAAUGUAAGCAUUCCACCUCAAGAGUAAUGUGGCAACGCAGGAACUGAAAUCAUUAGACCGUUACUGAAACCAGUAGUGAAGUAUGUUAUUUAAUUCGAUGAUCCGCGAAAAACCUUACCACAAUUUGCAUAUUAUUAAGUUAAUACAAGUGCUGCACGGCUGUCUUAAGUUAAUGUCGUGAGAUUUUGGUUAAUUCCAUCAAUUAACGAAAACCCUUGCUUUAUUUGUUUUAAUAAAGUAGUUCUCCAUUAGAUUGGAUAAGAUAAUAGGGAAUAAGACAAGUCAUCAUGGCCUAAAUAUUGUGGGCU
rnacentral:rRNA from 1 species